rnacentral:rRNA from 1 species
GUCCUAUCAGCUAGUUGGUGAGGUAAUGGCCCACCAAGGCAAUGACGGGUAGGCGGAGUGAGAGCUUGACCGCCAACAAUGGCACUGGAACAUGGGCCAUACUCCUACGGGAGGCAGCAGUCGAGAAUAUUUGACAAUGGGCGAAAGCCUGAUCAAGCGACGUCGCGUGUGGGAUUAAGAUCUUCGGAUUGUAAACCACUUUUUUAGGGGAAGAACUUUGACUGUACCCUAGGAAUAAGGGGUGACUAAACUCGUGCCAGCAGUAGCGGUAAUACGAGUGCCCCAAGCGUUAUCCGGAUUUAUUGGGCGUAAAGGGUCUGUAGGUGGUUUGUUAAGUUUCUCGUUAAAGCUCCAGGGCUUAACCUUGGAAAAGCGGGAAAAACUGGCAAACUAGAGGAUGUUAGAGGCUGAUGGAACACUUGGUGAAGGGGUGGAAUCCGUUGAUAUCAAGUGGAACACCGAAAGCGAAGGCAAUCAGCUGGGACAGUCCUGACACUGAAAGACGAAAGCGUGGGGAGAGAAAAGGAUUAGAUACCCUUGUAUUCCACGCCUUAAACGAUGAAUACUGGCUAUUGCAAGUGUCGACCCUUGCAGUGGCGAAGCUAACGCGUUAAGUAUUCCGCCUGGGAAGUACGGCCGCAAGGCUAAAACUCAAAGGAAUAGACGGGGACCUACACAAGCGGUGGAUCACGUGGCUUAAUUCGAUAGUAAGCGAGGAACCUUACCAGGGCUUGAAAGGUUAAUGAAAGCAUUUCGAAAGAUUUGCCUACCCACAAGGACAUUAACCCAGGUGCUGCAUGGUUGUCGUCAGCAGGUGGCUUGAGUUGCUCCCUUAAAUGGGGUAACCUGCGCAACCCUUGCUCUAUGUUUCAUGUGUCAUAGAGGACUGCCUGGGACAACCAGGAGGAAGGUGAGGAUGACGCCAAAUCAGCAUGGCCCUUUGAUGUCCUGGGCUGCACACGUGAUACAAUGGGAUUGACAACGGGAAGCGAAAGAGUAAUCUGGAGCAAAUCCUAUCAAACAAUCCCCCAAUUCGGAUUGAGGUCUGAAACUCGACCUCAUGAAGCCGGAAUCGCUAGUAAUCGCAGAUCAGCCAUGCUGCGGUGAAUAUGUCCCUGGGUCU